UGUAUGUAGUGUAUAGUCGAGUGCUUG
rnacentral:sRNA from 1 species